rnacentral:rRNA from 1 species
CAGUCGCCGCGGUAAUACAGAGGGUGCGAGCGUUAAUCGGAUUUACUGGGCGUAAAGCGUGCGUAGGCGGCUUCUUAAGUCGGAUGUGAAAUCCCUGAGCUUAACUUAGGAAUUGCAUUCGAUACUGGGAAGCUAGAGUAUGGGAGAGGAUGGUAGAAUUCCAGGUGUAGCGGUGAAAUGCGUAUAGAUCUGGAGGAAUACCGAUGGCGAAGGCAGCCAUCUGGCCUAAUACUGACGCUGAGGUACGAAAGCAUGGGGAGCAAACAGGAUUAGAUACCCCCGUAGUCCCUGUCUCUUAUAC